CAGUCGCCGCGGUAAAACGAAGGGUGCAAGCGUUAAUCGGAAUUACAGGGCGUAAAGCGUGCGUAGGCGGUUUGUUAAGUCUGUUGUGAAAUCCCCGGGCUCAACCCGAAGUCUGCACGGGAAACUACUGGGCUUGAGUAAUGGAGAGGUGAGUGGAAUUUCCGGUGUAGCGGUGAAAUUCGUAGAUAUUCGGAGGAACACCAGUGGCGAAGGCGGCUCACUGGCUCGGUACUGGCGCUGAGGUGCGAAAGCGUGGGGAGCAAACAGGAUUAGAUACCCGCGUAGUCCCUGUCUCUUAUAC
rnacentral:rRNA from 1 species